AAGCGAUUCUCCUGCCUCAGCCUCUUAAGUAGCUAGGACUACAGUUGAGAAGCCUGAGCCUCAGAGGGUAAGUGAUUCCUCUCAUUUAUGCCGCUGGCGUCUGGUGAGGCUUGGUCUCAGCAUUCAGAUUUUGGCCAUUACAAACAGUGCUGUUGUGAACGUUGUGCCUGCCUGUCUUCCGGCUGGACAUAGACCAAGUGGAUCCUUCUGCCCACUAGGGGAAAGGGCAGGAAGUGCUGAAAAGAAAACACGAUGUGGGGGCUACUCAAAGUGAGAUGUGUGGACCAAUGGAACCUUGGAACUUGUGUGAAAUACAGAAUCACAACCCACUACUAAGUCAGAAUUUGAAUUUUAUCAAGAUACCCAGCCUGUGCGUCAGACACUGUUCUGUUUCAUGGAUUAUCUCAUUCAGUCUUCAUAGUAGCCACAUCAGACAGAAACCAAGGCACAGAGAAAUUAAAUAACCUGCCCUGGGUGCCCCAGUUCAGAAGCACUGAGGCCAGAAUUGCUCACAGAUUUCUAGCUAAGUGCUCUUUUCACGACGCCAUGUUGCCUUCGUAAAACACAAAAGCCUGGGAAAGGGUUGAAUUUGCUGCAAAGGAUGUGAUGGAAAUGACAGUAUCCCUGUUCCAGACAUAGGCCUCAAGGCCCUACAUGUUCCCACCUCUUUUGGAACUCUGCUUCCACUAUGAGAAUAAGCCCAGGUUUUGUACCAUAGGAAAAAGGCUUUCCCUACUCAAAGAUCGCUAAAGCAGGCGAUUUUAGAAGACUUGUGCCUGGAAUACUCGGAGAAUCAUGUUUCCUGGGGAAAUAAAGGAGGAACUAGAUUGGUGUUCAUUAUCUGGCAUCGCUGUCCUCCCUCCAGCUGCCAUGGCCAUACUUAUCUCAGCAAGUAGAGAAAAAAAGAAAUGCGGAAACAUGAGUUUGGCAAACACACAUAUUCUCAAGUUAAGUGGCUUCAGACAGGAUGACUGUCAGUUGGUGAGAGGGAGCCAUCACAGGCCUGCAGUGAUUCCAACAACUCACAGGAAAGCAGUCCAGCUUGUUUGGCCAGUUCUUGGGUUAUUGGACAGUCAUCAAUAGCUUUGAAGCCACUGAAGUCUCCUCUGGUGCCCUGAAGCUUCAUUACUUCCAUGAAAUUCAGAGAGAGUGUUCGUGAUCAUGCAACAGAUACACCCACAGCCAGUGAGUUUCAAAGCCAAAGGAAAACAACAGGCCUUUGAUUAGGCUGUACCUACUCCAAUGCAGGAGGGCACUGCAGCAGCUGGGGGAGCCUGGCUGCACCACCUCUUUUCAUUCUCCAGAGGUGGGUGGAAAAGAGUGUGUGGGUUGGAAUUAAGGAACUGGGUUGACUAGCCCAAGGCUGGUUGGGAGCCUGCAGUUCAGGGAGAGAUUAUUGCUUUAUUGGCUCUGGUUUAAAAAAAAAAAAAAAAAAGUGACCAUCUUACAUCAUCUCAGCAGGACUGAAAAUUUCACAUGAUUAUCAAAGUGCAUGAAAUGCUAGACAGAUCCCUGAAUGUGAGUGGAAAGGGAAAGGAGGGGUUGGUGGAGCAGAGGUAGAUGCCCACUUUCUCCCCAAAAUAGAACAUCAGGACCUACUAAUGGGUGCAAGAAAGUGAGUCAGGUCUGGCCUUAAGGAUGUAUCCUGAAUACCCACCAGUGCUCAGUUUCCUUAUUAAUAUAUCAUUAGAUACCAGCUAUCAUGACUUCUCUGCUCCUUUCCUGUCAAUGACCACCAAACCGAACCCUGCUUGGAAAAACUCUCUUUGCUUCAAGAGGGAUUGUGUGGGCUUAGCUCAGGUUCAUGGAAACACCUUGCUUGUUUCUUUCCUGCAGAGUGGAUGGUGAAAGGAGUUGUUAGCACCAGUCAGCUUUUUCUUAUCAAGUAACUUCAUUAUUUCUAGGGCAGUCACAUGCCGUUGUUUGUCCCAGACAGAGGGGCUUCUGGGACACAAGACUUUUAUUGCUAAAAUCAGGAAAGUUCCUGGCAAACUGGGAUGAGAAGUCGCCCUAAUUGUCACAGUAUCUGAUGAGGUGCCAAAUGAGUAAGGGAGACAGUCAACACUAAUGAAGUUUGGAAUUGGUAGCUGGGAGUUUUGUACAGAGCUAUGUAUUUUACAAUGCACUUUCACACACACUAUCUCAUUUUAAUCUUAUAACAAAUUAAAGAAGGCAGAGGAGGUAUUACUUUUGCUUUAUGUUGAGGAAAAAAUUGAGCCACAAAGAUUAAGUAACUAGCUCAAUGACACAGAGCUGGUUAAUAACAAAACUCGAGGGUUGCUUCCAACUCUCUGUGGAGUGAGACAGGGAACGAUUGAUAGCUGGAGUCCAGUGUUCUUUCUGCUGUACCAUGUUGUCUCUCUAGUUAUAGGGAGAAUAGAAUUCCUUUUUCUCUCAUUAUUUGCCUUUGUUUUUUCUUGUUAUGAUGCUCUGUUGUAGAGUGACGAUCUUGCAGUGAAGAAUAAUUCAAUGGAAAUUCAGAGCUGUGUCCCCAACCACCAACCAUCAGGAAGCACAGAUGCUCAGACAUUUGCUGUGACUUCUACCCAAAGGCAAGGCAAAAUGUCAUUGCCAAGGAUUACAUUCAAAUGACCCUGUAAUAUGGUUUUCUGGUGGAGGGAAGAACUGAAGGUAAUACUAGUUCAUCAGAGAAUGCUGAGUGGAGAAUCGCAGUGGUAGGGAGAUGAGAGAGCUGUGGAUCUUAAGGCAAGAGGACAGGCUCAGAAGUCAACAGCCUUAAGCAGAAGCAUGCAGGGUUCCGGGAUGAGAAACAUGACUCAGCAUUUAUCCUUUCCUAUAAAACAUAGCAGUGUGUUAAGGCUGCAUUUGAAAUUUUACUCUAAGGCCAGUGAUAAUAUCUAAAUUACGGUCAUGACAUGCAUAACUUGAUAUCAAGUAGAAUGGAAAUAUUUCCUAAAAUUAAAGAAAUUACAACCAAACUCAAAUCUAUCAUUUCUGUAUUCAACGACAGUCACAAAAGUAUGGAUAUCUAUGGGGAAUUAUAAUGAAUCUACAGUUUCUCUGGCCAGUUCUAUUUCCUUUAGAAUGUCAAGCAGCAUUUGAUUUAUGAUAAUGGCUCAGAUUUUCAAGAUUAAAUUCAUGUUGGUAUACUGUCUUUUAAAGCAUGAAAACCCAUUUGCUAUAGAAUGAUAUAAUCAUGAUCUGCACUAUAAAUGAAAAACUUUAUGCUGGCAAAAAAAAAAUCUCUGAGAUGCAGUAGAGCAAUAUGGUAUAGUGGUAUGUAUGGGGUGAAGAAAAGAGCUAGGGUUUUGCAAUCAAGCAGAUUCAAGUUCAAAUUCCAGUUGUGUUAGUGUGUGAUGUCGGGUGUUAAGUCUCAGUUUUUUUAUCUGUAAAAUAUUACAUCUUGUAGAUUUCUUGUACUCUUAAAUUUGUGGCCUCAUAGAUUUACUUCCUCAGCUUCCUCUGCCUUGUUGCUUCUGUAGACAGCACGUGGAACAGAGAACACAAGAAGGUUUCAAAAGAUUUAAAAUCAUGGUUUUUAACACGGCUAAGAUGUUAUGUGGUAAACUUCCACCCAUCAUCACUAUAUCUCCUAUACCAGGAGUAAGCCAUUAUAUUUGUUUUACAAAGUGCUAUGAUUACAGGCAUAAGCCACUACACUCAGCCCCUCAGAAUUCUUGAAUUAUGAAAGUGUUCUGAUUUAUUUGACUACAGAAAUGACUGGAAAAUCUCAGCAUUUUAAACCUUUUUUGUAUAUUCUAACUGCAGUAAGAUAAACAUUACAGUUAUGUAUGUAUAUUUAUAUUUUUUUCUGUGUUGGGAUAUUUUCUGAUCUUUCUCUAAAAAGCCAUAUAUGACAAUUAGCAGUAAGAUGGAAAAGAUAAAAGUUAUAUUUGAGUUAAAUUAGAUAAAAAAUAGAUUGUUUUCUAUUUAAGAUUUCAAAAUAUUAAUGACCUAAAACAAAACAAAUUUUUCUAUUGGUCAGUUUUACUCUGGUUGAAGUAAUGCAUCUUAGAAAUAAAAUAAAUCUUAAAUAGGGAGCAUCUUCUAAAUCUUAGCCAGGGGAGGGGGAAAAAAAAAACAAAAACGAUGAGGCUUAUCUACCUUUAAAGACUGUUUGUAUCCUCCCAAAAUUAAUCUGUUGAAGCCCUAACCCCCAGUGUGAUGGUGUUUGCAGAUGGAGCCUUUGGAAGAUAAUUUGGUUUAGAUGAGGUCCUGAGAGUACAGCCCUAAUCCCAUGAUAUUAGUGCCCCUAGAAGAAGAAACACUAAUGAGUUUGCUCUCUCUCUCCACCACAUAAGGACACAGCAAGAAGGCAGCCAUCUAUAAGCCAUGAAGAGAGCCCUCACCAGAAACAAACCAUGCUGGCAACUUGAUCUUGGACUUCUAGGCUCCAGAACCAUGAGAAAAUAAAUUUCUGUUGUUUAAGCCACACAGUCUAUGGUGUUUUGUUACAGUGGCUUGAGCAAAUUAAUCUGUUUACGAAAGGGAAGAUGGACAUACACGCUAUGGCUAGGAAGGAAUGAUAACUUAUCAUUGAACCUAAAUGUAGGAGAUGUCCUGCCUAAAAUUUUGACUAUGCUUUUAUUUGUGUGUAUUUGUUUUUGUUUUGUUUUGUUUUGUUUUUGCUACUGGGUCAGUCUUGGGAGGGUAAAUCACUACUGAAAGGAACAUGGCUUCAUCCCCCAAAAAAGGGUGAACAUGUAGACCCUCUGGGAGUAAUCAAGGCCUAAUAUUAAGGAAAGACAGGGAAAGGUCAGGAGGCCUUUACUUCUGUGAGUGUCUGGGACCCAAAAAUUCAUUCAAAGCCUGCUGCAGAUUAGGACCUCAAAGUCAGUAGCUUCCUAGCCUCACUCUUGAUAUUUACAUCCCCAGGAAGAAAAGAGGGAUGCUGGUUGGGAGUCCUCAAAUGGUAGGCUACUAAGCCACUUGUGACAUGGCACUCUUGAGACAACUGGUGCAUUGGAGGAUAGUUUGAAAGUAAACUCCAGUGAACCUGGAGCUCCUUGCCUAAGCUUGUAUUUGAGCAAAAAAAAAAAAAAAAAAAAAAA